rnacentral:rRNA from 1 species
GAUGAACGCUGGCGGCGUGCUUAACACAUGCAAGUCGAACGGUGAAGCAGAGCUUGCUCUGUGGAUCAGUGGCGAACGGGUGAGUAACACGUGAGCAACCUGCCCCGGACUCUGGGAUAAGCGCUGGAAACGGCGUCUAAUACCGGAUACGAGAUUCCACCGCAUGGUGAGUUUCUGGAAAGAUUUUUUGGUCUGGGAUGGGCUCACGGCCUAUCAGCUUGUUGGUGAGGUAAUAGCUCACCAAGGCGUCGACGGGUAGCCGGCCUGAGAGGGUAACCGGCCACACUGGGACUGAGACACGGCCCAGACUCCUACGGGAGGCAGCAGUGGGGAAUAUUGCACAAUGGGCGGAAGCCUGAUGCAGCAACGCCGCGUGAGGGAUGACGGCCUUCGGGUUGUAAACCUCUUUUAGCAGGGAAGAAGCGAAAGUGACGGUACCUGCAGAAAAAGCGCCGGCUAACUACGUGCCAGCCGCCGCAGUAAUAC